AGAUCUCUCCACAUCACAUGCACUCCCAACUCUAGAUCUCUCCACAUCACAUGCACUCCCAACUCUAGAUCUCUCCACAUCACAUGCACUCCCAACUCUAGAUCUCUCCACAUCACAUGAUCUCUCCACAUCACAUGCACUCCCAACUCUAGAUCUCUCCACAUCACAUGCACUCCCAACUCUAGAUCUCUCCACAUCACAUGCACUCCCAACUCUAGAUCUCUCCACAUCACAUGAUCUCUCCACAUCACAUGCACUCCCAACUCUAGAUCUCUCCACAUCACAUGCACUCCCAACUCUAGAUCUCUCCACAUCACAUGCACUCCCAACUCUAGAUCUCUCCACAUCACAUGCACUCCCAACUCUAGAUCUCUCAGCAUCACAUGCACUCCCAACUCUAGAUCUCUCCACAUCACAUGCACUCCCAACUCUAGAUCUCUCCACAUCACAUGCACUCCCAACUCUAGAUCUCUCCACAUCACAUGCACUCCCAACUCUAGAUCUCUCCACAUCACAUGCACUCCCAACUCUAGCCCACCACCAUCUACUCUAAUCAGAGAUCACACUUCUCUAUGGCAUGCCACAGGUACCCAGGGUAAGGGAAGGGGGAGGGUAAGGGACAGGUUUCGGGGAGAUGGCCACAACUAACAA
rnacentral:lncRNA from 1 species